rnacentral:rRNA from 1 species
UGAACGCUAGCGGCAGGCUUAACACAUGCAAGUCGAACGGUAACAGGAUUGAUUUAUCAAUUGCUGACGAGUGGCGCACGGGUGCGUAACACGUAUGCAACCUACCCUUUACAGGAGAAUAUCCCCGAGAAAUCGGGAUUAAUACUUCAUGGUAUCAUAAGAUCGCAUGGUCUAAUGAUUAAAGUUUCGGCGGUAAAGGAUGGGCAUGCGGUCUAUUAGUUUGUUGGUAAGGUAACGGCUUACCAAGACUUCGAUAGAUAGGGGGUCUGAGAGGAUGAUCCCCCACACUGGUACUGAGACACGGACCAGACUCCUACGGGAGGCAGCAGUGAGGAAUAUUGGUCAAUGGAGGAAACUCUGAACCAGCCAUGCCGCGUGCAGGAAGACGGCCCUACGGGUUGUAAACUGCUUUUAUUUGGGAAGAAACCCUGAUACGUGUAUCAGGCUGACGGUACCAAACGAAUAAGCACCGGCUAACUCC